rnacentral:rRNA from 1 species
CCUACGGGUGGCAGCAGUGAGGAAUAUUGGUCAAUGGGCGCGAGCCUGAACCAGCCAAGUAGCGUGAAGGAUGAAUGCCCUAUGGGUUGUAAACCUCUUUUAUAAAGGAAUAAAGUGAGGCACGUGUGCCUUUUUGUCUGUAUCUUAUGAAUAAGGAUCGGCUAACUCCGUGCCAGCAGCCGCGGUAAUACGGAGGGUCCGAGCGUUAUCCGGAUUUAUUGGGUUUAAAGGGAGCGUAGAUGGGUUGUUAAGUCAGUUGUGAAAGUCUUCGGCUCAACCGUAACAUGGCAAUUGAUACUGGCAGCCUUGAGUACAGUUGAGGUAGGCGGAAUUCGUGGUGUAGCGGUGAAAUGCUUAGAUAUCACGAAGAACUCCGAUUGCGAAGGCAGCCUACUAGACUGCAUCUGACGUUGAGGCUCGAAAGUGUGGGUAUCAAACAGGAUUAGAUACCCCUGUAGUC